AUUUAGUCAACCUUUAGUGGUGCCCGUGAGUAACGGGAUAAUCGGGAAGUCGGUGAAAUUCCGGCACUGCCCCCGCAACGGUAAAUGGUGAGAUGCUGGCGCGCUACCGCGUUAUAAAAGUCAGCAGCGCGCGCUCGUCGCAUAGCCAAAGUCCGGAGACCGGCCCUUAAGGUAUUUCGCGU
rnacentral:ncRNA from 2 species